rnacentral:rRNA from 1 species
UACGUAGGGGGCAAGCGUUGUCCGGAAUCAUUGGGCGUAAAGGGUGCGUAGGUGGCAUGGUAAGUCGGGUGUGAAAUCCCGGGGCUCAACCCCGGAACUGCACUCGAUACUGCCGUGCUCGAGUACUGGAGAGGAGACUGGAAUUUACGGUGUAGCAGUGAAAUGCGUAGAUAUCGUAAGGAAGACCGGUGGCGAAGGCUAGUCUCUGGACAGUUACUGACACUGAGGCACGAAGGCCAGGGGAGCAAACGGG